rnacentral:rRNA from 1 species
GCUAGCGACGUGCCUAAGGUAUGCAAGUCGAAUGCCGAUUUAUCGGCAUGGCAGACGGCUGAGUAACACAUGGGAAUCUACCUCAAACUCGAGAAUAGCCCAUCGAAAGGUGGUGUAAUACUCGAUAGUUCCGUUUACGGUAAAGCUCCGGCGGUUUGAGAUGAGCCCAUGUCCUAUCAGGUUGUUGGUGGGGUAAUUGCCUACCAAGCCUAUGACGGGUAGCUGGUUUGAGAGGAUGAUCAGCCAGACUGGGACUGCGAUACGGCCCAGACUCCUACGGGAGGCAGCAACUAGGAAUCAUGCGCAAUGGACGAAAGUCUGACGCUGCGACGUCGCGUGAGGGAUGAAGGUCUUCGGAUCGUAAACCUCUUUUAUCUGGGAACAAGUUCUGAGUGUACCAGAUGAAUAAGUGCCUGCCAACCACGUGCCAGAAGCAUCGGUAAUGCGUGGGGCGCGAGCGUUAUCCGGAUUUACUGGGCGUAAAGAGAUGCGUAGGCGCCUUUUUAAGUCACUUGUAAAAUCUCCCCGCUCAACGGGGAAACUGCAAGUGAUACUGAAUUGGUUGAGUCAAGUAGAGGAGAGGGGAAUUCCUGGUGGAGCGGUUAAAUGCGUUGAUAUCAGGAGGAAUACCAAGUGCGAAGGCACCUCUCUGGACUUGUACUGACGCUAAGGCUCGAAAGUGUGGGGAGCAAAACGGAUUAGAUACCCGUGUAGUCCACACUGUAAACGAUCCCUGCUAGAUGUUUGC